rnacentral:rRNA from 1 species
UACGUAGGGUGCGAGCGUUAAUCGGAAUUACUGGGCGUAAAGCGUGCGCAGGCGGUUCGCUAAGACCGAUGUGAAAUCCCCGGGCUUAACCUGGGAACUGCAUUGGUGACUGGCGGGCUAGAGUAUGGCAGAGGGGGGUAGAAUUCCACGUGUAGCAGUGAAAUGCGUAGAGAUGUGGAGGAAUACCGAUGGCGAAGGCAGCCCCCUGGGCCAAUACGUGACGCUCAUGCACGAAAGCGUGGGGAGCAAACAGG